rnacentral:tRNA from 1 species
GCCCUCGUAGCUCAGUGGAUAGAGCACCGGUUUCCUAAACCGGGUGUCGCAGGUUCGAUUCCUGCCGAGGGCACCA